AUUGAACGCUGGCGGCAUGCUUUACACAUGCAAGUCGAACGGCAGCGCGGGCUUCGGCCUGGCGGCGAGUGGCGAACGGGUGAGUAAUUCAUCGGAACGUGCCCAGUAGUGGGGGAUAGCCCGGCGAAAGCCGGAUUAAUACCGCAUCCGACCUGAGGGUGAAAGCGGGGGACCGAAAGGCCUCGCGCUAUUGGAGCUGCCGAUUUCGGAUUAGCUAGUUGGUUGGGUAAAGGCUUACCAAGGCGACGAUCCGUAGCUGGUCUGAGAGGACGACCAGCCACACUGGGACUGAGACACGGCCCAGACUCCUACGGGAGGCAGCAGUGGGGAAUUUUGGACAAUGGGGGCAACCCUGAUCCAGCCAUGCCGCGUGAGGGAAGAAGGCCUUCGGGUUGUAAACCGCUUUUGUUCGGGAAGAAAUCCUCUGGGCUAAUACCCCGGGGGGAUGACGGUACCGGAAAAAUAAGCACCGGCUAACUACGUG
rnacentral:rRNA from 1 species